rnacentral:rRNA from 1 species
CCUACGGGUGGCUGCAGUGGGGGAUAUUGCACAAUGGGGGGAACCCUGAUGCAGCGACGCCGCGUGGGUGAAGAAGCGCCUCGGCGCGUAAAGCCCUGUCAGCAGGGGAGAAAAUGACGGUACCUGAAGAAGAAGCCCCGGCUAACUACGUGCAAGCAGCCGCGGUAAUACGUAGGGGGCAAGCGUUAUCCGGAUUUACUGGGUGUAAAGGGGGCGCAGACGGCGAUGCAAGCCAGGAGUGAAAGCCCGGGGCUCAACCCCAUCCAGCCGUUGACACUGGGGAUCUAGAGUGUGCGAGAGGUAUGCGGAAUGCGUGGUGUAGCGGUGAAAUGCAUAGAUAUCACGCAGAACCCCGAUUGCGAAGGCAGCAUACCGGUGCACAACUGACGCUCAGGCACGAAAGCGUGGGUAUCGAACAGGAUUAGAUACCCCGGUAGUC